GACGAACGCUGGCGGCGUGCCUAACACAUGCAAGUCGAACGAAGUUAUUUAUGGAAGUCUUCGGACGGAAGUUUUUAACUUAGUGGCGGACGGGUGAGUAACGCGUGAGCAACCUGCCUUUCAGAGGGGGAUAACAGUUGGAAACGACUGCUAAUACCGCAUAAGACCACAGAGCCGCAUGGUUCAGGGGUCAAAGGNGUAAUCCGGUAUGAGGUGGACUCGCGUCUGAUUAGAUAGUUGGUGAGGUAACGGCUCACCAAGUCGACGAUCGGUAGCCGACCUGAGAGGGUGAUCGGCCACAUUGGGACUGAGACACGGCCCAGACUCCUACGGGAGGCAGCAGUGGGGAAUAUUGGGCAAUGGGCGCAAGCCUGACCCAGCAACGCCGCGUGAGGGAGAAGGUUUCGGAUGUAAACCUCUGUCCUAGGUGAAGAGCAGAAGACGGUAGCCUAGGAGGAAGCUCCGGGCAACUACGUG
rnacentral:rRNA from 1 species